UAGAUGUUUUUUUUUUUUGUAAGUUUAGAACUAUUAAGAGUAUUUUGAAGGGGUACAUCACAAACAAACCUCUUAUUCAACACAAAGACAAAAAACAAUAACUCAUUGGGGCUUAAUUAACAUUUUAAUUAGGUUUCAAAUAAAAUUUUACAGGAAUUAAGAACAAAUUCAUUUCCAACAGCCGGCAAUGUAGGUCAUUACAGUACGUUCCACGGUUCCACCAGUUAGGCUUUUGAAUUGACAAAAUAUCCUUUUGAAUUGACAAAAUAAUAGAGAAAACGAUGGCCGCUACCAUAUUAUCCAAAUCUUCUUUCUAAUUCCUAUACAUCUAUCAAGGAGAGAUUAGCGUUCUACGUACACGUCACUUUCAAAGCGCUCCAAUCAAAUAAAGGCAAAAUUAAACAAAGCACUUAAACACUACUUUUGAUCAGAAAGCACUUAAACACUACUUUUGAUCAGAAAGCACUUCAAAAGUACUACUGGGUUUCACACACAUAUGCUUAUUAAUUAAUUGGGAGCCUCUAAGUUACAAUAAUUGUAACGUACAUCCUUCAUGUGAACCACACAAAUUGUGGGAAUCUUCUUUCUAAUUCCUGUACAUCUAUCAAGGAGAGAUUAGCGUUCUACGUAUACGUCACUUUCAAAGCGCUUCAAUCAAAUAAAGGCAAAAUUAAAGAAAGCACUUAAACACUACUUUUGUUCAGAAAGCACUACUGGGUUUCACACGCAUCUGCUUAUUAAUUAAUUGGGAGCCUCUAAGUUACAAUAAUUGUAACAUACAUCCCUCAUGUGAACCACACAAAUUGUGGGAAUCUUCUUUCUAAUUCCUGUACAUCUAUCAAGGAGAUAUUAGCGUUUUACGUACACGUCACUUUCAAAGCACUCCAAUCAAAUAAAGGCAAAAUUAAAGAAAGCACUUAAACAAUAUUUUAUCAUAAAGCACUACUGAGUUUUACAUGCAUCUGCUUAUUAAUUAAUUGGGAGCCUCUAAGUUACAAUAAUUAUAACAUACAUCCCUCAUGUAAACCACACAAAUUGUGGGUCCCACAAUUUGUGUGGUUCACAUGAGAGAUGCAAUUCGGUUUCAAUAUUCAUCACUAUGGAAUAUUAAUAGGAUUAAUAUGAAACUGUUUUUUCUAAAGAGGGUUGUGAUUAAGUUAUAUUAUUUGUAGCUUAUAUUAAUUUAAAAUUAUUUUUUUAAAUUCUUGUUAUGGGUCUGUUAUUGCCUAUCUCAUGAAAAAUUAUUUUUGGGUGAAGGUGCAGAGCAGUUGUUGUUUAUAUUUUGAUGAUUUUUAUUUGGUAUUAUUUGUUGAUUGUGUUCGAUUAUGAAGAGCUGUUUGUUUGACAGUCAUAUAAUUUCGAGAAGGGACACGAGUGGCCAAAAUUAGACGACCAGCCAUCGUUGUCUUAAGUUAAUUUUGAAUUGACAAAAUUUCCUUUUGAAUUGACAAAAUAAUAGAGAAAACGAUGGCCGCUACCAUAUUAUCCAAAUCUUCUUUUUAAUUCAUGUACAUUUAUUAAGGAGAGAUUAGCGUUCUACGUACACGUCACUUUCAAAGCGCUCCAAUCAAAUAAAUGCAAAAUUAAUGAAAGCACUUAAACACUACUUUUGAUCACAAAGCACUACUGGGUUUUACAUGCAUCUGCUUAUUAAUUAAUUGGGAGCCUAUAAGUUACAAUAAUUGUAACAUACAUCCCUCAUGUGAACUAACUAUGGCCGCACGGCACGGCCCACUAACUGUCGGCCCAUAAGGGCUCGUGGGCCGGCACGGCACGACCCACCAAAUUGGUGGGUCGUGCCGUGCCGUGCCUACCUUUUUUUCAGUUGAGCCCAGCACGGGCUCGUGCCGUGCUCGUGCCGUGCCGUGGGCCGUGCCCAAAAAAAGCCCACCAACUUUUUUUUUUAACGUACUUAAAAAAGUUUACGUGUCUGGCGUGCUUUAUUCAAGCCCACGUGUCUAACGUGCUUUAUUCAAGCCCAUGUGCCUAACGUGCUUUUUUGAGCCCACCAACAUAAUAAUAAUAAUAUUCAUAAUCAUAAUCAUAUUAAUUUUUAUUAAGAGAGCAAUUUAACAUUUUAUUAUUAGUUUAUCACAAUUUCACAACUAUAUAUUUUAUUUCACAAUAAAUCAAUCAUAAUUCAUAACAUAACAAUACAUAAAUUUAAUCCCAUAGAUCAUAAUAAUUAAUUAAAAUUAAAAAAACAAUCAUCGAAUAAUCAUUACAAUAAGUCAUAACUAUGAAAUAUUAACAUAACAAAUCAUAGGUCACAACUUACAAAUUACAACUACGAAACACGAACUACGACCAAUUGACGAAUAACAAGCACGAAAAAAUUAUAAACAUAAAUAAAUAAUUAAAUAAAUAUCAUAAAUAAAAUAAAAUAUCAUAAAUAACAUUAUUUAUUUAAUAAAUAUCAUAAAUAAAAUUAUGAUAUUUAUAAUUUUAUUUAUUAAAAUCAUGAUAUUUACUUAUUCAUUUAAUAAAUUAUAAACAUAAAAAUUAGAAUAUUUAUUUAAACUAAGAUUUAAUGAUUUAAAUUAAUUUUUAAAAGUCUAUGCUAAAAAAUAUAUUAAAACAUUUAAUUUCAAGAUAUUUUACUUUAAUUUCAUAACAUUUUAUAUUUACUUUUUGUUAAAAAAAUUUACUUAGAUAUAUUUUAGCCCACGUGCUAUUGAUGGCCCACGGGCCGCGUACUAGCCCACCAAUGAACCGUGCUUAUUACGUGCUUUUUCGCGUGCCGUGCUUUAAGGCCCGCGUGCCUAAAAUUCAAGGCACGGCACGGCCCACGUGCGUGUCGUGCCGUGCCUCGUGCCUCACCGAAACGUGCUCGUGCCGUGCCGUGCCGUGCCACGUGCCGCCCGGCCCAUUGGCCAUCUUUAAUGUGAACCACACAAAUUGUGGGAAUAUUCUUUCUAAUUCAUGUACAUCUAUCAAGGAGAGAUUAGCGUUCUACGUACACGUCACUUUCAAAGCGCUCCAAUCAAAUAAAGGCAAAAUUAAAGAAAGCACUUAAACACUACUUUUGAUCAGAAAGCACUAUUGGGUUUCACAUGCAUCUGCUUAUUAAUUAAUUGAGAGCCUCUAAGUUACAAUAAUAGUAACAAACAUCCCUCAUGUGAACCACACAAAUUGUGGGAAUCUUCUUUCUAAUUCUUGUACAUCUAUCAAGGAGAGAUUAGUGUUCUACGUACACGUCACUUUCAAAGCGCUCCAAUCAAAUAAAGGCAAAAUUACAGAAAGCACUUAAACACUACUUUUGAUCAGAAAGCACUAUUGGGUUUCCCAUGCAUCUGCUUAUUAAUUAAUUGAGAGCCUCUAAGUUACAAUAAUAGUAACAAACAUCCCUCAUGUGAACUACACAAAUUGUGGGAAUCUUCUUUCUAAUUCAUGUACAUCUAUCAAGGAGAGAUUAGCGUUUUACGUACACGUCACUUUCAAAGCGCUCCAAUCAAAUAAAGGCAAAAUUAAAGAAAGCACUUAAACACUACUUUUGAUCAGAAAGCACUACUGGGUUUCACAUGCAUCUGCUUAUUAAUUAAUUGGGAGCCUCUAAGUUACAAUAAUUGUAACAUACAUCCCUCAUGUGAACCACACAAAUUGUGGGAAUCUUCUUUCUAAUUCUUGUACAUCUAUCAAGGAGAGAUUAGUGUUCUACGUACACGUCACUUUCAAAGCGCUCCAAUCAAAUAAAGUCAAAAUUAAAGAAAGCAUUUAAACACUACUUUUGAUCAGAAAGCACUACUGGGUUUCACAUGCAUCUACUUAUUAAUUAAUUGAGAGCCUCUAAGUUAUAAUAAUUGUAACAUACAUCCCUCAUGUGAACUACACAAAUUGUGGGAAUCUUCUUUCUAAUUUAUAAUUUUAUUUAUUAAAAUCAUGAUAUUUACUUAUUCAUUUAAUAAAUUAUAAACAUAAAAAUUAGAAUAUUUAUUUAAACUAAGAUUUAAUGAUUUAAAUGAAUUUUUAAAAGUCUAUGCUAAAAAAUAUAAUAAAACAUUUAAUUUCAAGAUAUUUUACUUUAAUUUCAUAACAUUUUAUAUUUACUUUUUGUUAAAAAAAUUUACUUAGAUAUAUUUUAGCCCACGUGCUAUUGAUGGCCCACGGGCCGUGUACUAGCCCACCAAUGAACCGUGCUUAUUACGUGCUUUUUCGCGUGCCGUGCUUUAAGGCCCGCGUGCCUAAAAUUCAAGGCACGGCACGGCCCACGUGCGUGUCGUGCCGUGCCUCGUGCCUCACCGAAACGUGCUCGUGCCGUGCCGUGCCGUGCCACGUGCCGCCCGGCCCAUUGGCCAUCUUUAAUGUGAACCACACAAAUUGUGGGAAUCUUCUUUCUAAUUCAUGUACAUCUAUCAAGGAGAGAUUAGCGUUCUACGUACACGUCACUUUCAAAGCGCUCCAAUCAAAUAAAGGCAAAAUUAAAGAAAGCACUUAAACACUACUUUUGAUCACAAAGCACUACUAGGUUUCACAUGCAUCUGCUUAUUAAUUAAUUGGGAGCCUCUAAGUUACAAUAAUUGUAAAAUACAUCCCUCAUGUGAACCACACAAAUUGUAGGAAUCUUCUUUCUAAUUCUUGUACAUCUAUCAAGGAGAGAUUAGCGUUCUACGUACACGUCACUUUCAAAGCGCUCCAAUCAAAUAAAGGGAAAAUUAAAGAAAGCACUUAAACACUACUUUUGAUCAGAAAGCACUAUUGGGUUUCACAUGCAUCUGCUUAUUAAUUAGUUGGGAGCCUCUAAGUUACAAUAAUUGUAACAUACAUUCCUCAUGUGAACCACACAAAUUAUAGGAAUCUUCUUUCUAAUUCUUGUACAUCUAUCAAGGAGAGAUUAGCGUUCUACGUACACGUCACUUUCAAAGCGCUCCAAUCAAAUAAAGGCAAAAUUAAAGAAAGCACUUAAACACUACUUUUGAUCAGAAAGCACUAUUGGGUUUCACAUGCAUCUGCUUAUUAAUUAAUUGAGAGCCUCUAAGUUACAAUAAUAGUAACAAACAUCCCUCAUGUGAACCACACAAAUUGUGGGAAUCUUCUUUCUAAUUCUUGUACAUCUAUCAAGGAGAGAUUAGUGUUCUACGUACACGUCACUUUCAAAGCGCUCCAAUCAAAUAAAGGCAAAAUUAAAGAAAGCAUUUAAACACUACUUUUGAUCAGAAAGCACUACUGGGUUUCACAUGCAUCUCCUUAUUAAUUAAUUGAGAGCCUCUAAGUUACAAUAAUUGUAACAUACAUCCCUCAUGUGAACUACACAAAUUGUGGGAAUCUUCUUUCUAAUUUAUAAUUUUAUUUAUUAAAAUCAUGAUAUUUACUUAUUCAUUUAAUAAAUUAUAAACAUAAAAAUUAGAAUAUUUAUUUAAACUAAGAUUUAAUGAUUUAAAUUAAUUUUUAAAAGUCUAUGCUAAAAAAUAUAUUAAAACAUUUAAUUUCAAGAUAUUUUACUUUAAUUUCAUAACAUUUUAUAUUUACUUUUUGUUAAAAAAAUUUACUUAGAUAUAUUUUAGCCCACGUGCUAUUGAUGGCCCACGGGCCGCGUACUAGCCCACCAAUGAACCGUGCUUAUUACGUGCUUUUUCGCGUGCCGUGCUUUAAGGCCCGCGUGCCUAAAAUUCAAGGCACGGCACGGCCCACGUGCGUGUCGUGCCGUGCCUCGUGCCUCACCGAAACGUGCUCGUGCCGUGCCGUGCCGUGCCACGUGCCGCCUGUAACAUACAUUCCUCAUGUGAACCACACAAAUUAUAGGAAUCUUCUUUCUAAUUCUUGUACAUCUAUCAAGGAGAGAUUAGCGUUCUACGUACACGUCACUUUCAAAGCGCUCCAAUCAAAUAAAGGCAAAAUUAAAGAAAGCACUUAAACACUACUUUUGAUCAGAAAGCACUAUUGGGUUUCACAUGCAUCUGCUUAUUAAUUAAUUGAGAGCCUCUAAGUUACAAUAAUAGUAACAAACAUCCCUCAUGUGAACCACACAAAUUGUGGGAAUCUUCUUUCUAAUUCUUGUACAUCUAUCAAGGAGAGAUUAGUGUUCUACGUACACGUCACUUUCAAAGCGCUCCAAUCAAAUAAAGGCAAAAUUAAAGAAAGCAUUUAAACACUACUUUUGAUCAGAAAGCACUACUGGGUUUCACAUGCAUCUCCUUAUUAAUUAAUUGAGAGCCUCUAAGUUACAAUAAUUGUAACAUACAUCCCUCAUGUGAACUACACAAAUUGUGGGAAUCUUCUUUCUAAUUUAUAAUUUUAUUUAUUAAAAUCAUGAUAUUUACUUAUUCAUUUAAUAAAUUAUAAACAUAAAAAUUAGAAUAUUUAUUUAAACUAAGAUUUAAUGAUUUAAAUUAAUUUUUAAAAGUCUAUGCUAAAAAAUAUAUUAAAACAUUUAAUUUCAAGAUAUUUUACUUUAAUUUCAUAACAUUUUAUAUUUACUUUUUGUUAAAAAAAUUUACUUAGAUAUAUUUUAGCCCACGUGCUAUUGAUGGCCCACGGGCCGCGUACUAGCCCACUAAUAAACCGUGCUUAUUACGUGCUUUUUCGCGUGCCGUGCUUUAAGGCCCGCGUGCCUAAAAUUCAAGGCACGGCACGGCCCACGUGCGUGUCGUGCCGUGCCUCGUGCCUCACCGAAACGUGCUCGUGCCGUGCCGUGCCGUGCCACGUGCCGCCCGGCCCAUUGGCCAUCUUUAAUGUGAACCACACAAAUUGUGGGAAUAUUCUUUCUAAUUCAUGUACAUCUAUCAAGGAGAGAUUAGCGUUCUACGUACACGUCACUUUCAAAGCGCUCCAAUCAAAUAAAGGCAAAAUUAAAGAAAGCACUUAAACACUACUUUUGAUCAGAAAGCACUAUUGGGUUUCACAUGCAUCUGCUUAUUAAUUAAUUGAGAGCCUCUAAGUUACAAUAAUAGUAACAAACAUCCCUCAUGUGAACCACACAAAUUGUGGGAAUCUUCUUUCUAAUUCUUGUACAUCUAUCAAGGAGAGAUUAGUGUUCUACGUACACGUCACUUUCAAAGCGCUCCAAUCAAAUAAAGGCAAAAUUAAAGAAAGCAUUUAAACACUACUUUUGAUCAGAAAGCACUACUGGGUUUCACAUGCAUCUCCUUAUUAAUUAAUUGAGAGCCUCUAAGUUACAAUAAUUGUAACAUACAUCCCUCAUGUGAACUACACAAAUUGUGGGAAUCUUCUUUCUAAUUUAUAAUUUUAUUUAUUAAAAUCAUGAUAUUUACUUAUUCAUUUAAUAAAUUAUAAACAUAAAAAUUAGAAUAUUUAUUUAAACUAAGAUUUAAUGAUUUAAAUUAAUUUUUAAAAGUCUAUGCUAAAAAAUAUAUUAAAACAUUUAAUUUCAAGAUAUUUUACUUUAAUUUCAUAACAUUUUAUAUUUACUUUUUGUUAAAAAAAUUUACUUAGAUAUAUUUUAGCCCACGUGCUAUUGAUGGCCCACGGGCCGCGUACUAGCCCACUAAUAAACCGUGCUUAUUACGUGCUUUUUCGCGUGCCGUGCUUUAAGGCCCGCGUGCCUAAAAUUCAAGGCACGGCACGGCCCACGUGCGUGUCGUGCCGUGCCUCGUGCCUCACCGAAACGUGCUCGUGCCGUGCCGUGCCGUGCCACGUGCCGCCCGGCCCAUUGGCCAUCUUUAAUGUGAACCACACAAAUUGUGGGAAUCUUCUUUCUAAUUCAUGUACAUCUAUCAAGGAGAGAUUAGCGUUCUACGUACACGUCACUUUCAAAGCGCUCCAAUCAAAUAAAGGCAAAAUUAAAGAAAGCACUUAAACUCUACUUUUGAUCACAAAGCACAACUAGGUUUCACAUGCAUCUGCUUAUUAAUUAAUUGGGAGCCUCUAAGUUACAAUAAUUGUAACAUACAUUCCUCAUGUGAACCACACAAAUUAUAGGAAUCUUCUUUCUAAUUCUUGUACAUCUAUCAAGGAGAGAUUAGCGUUCUACGUACACGUCACUUUCAAAGCGCUCCAAUCAAAUAAAGGCAAAAUUAAAGAAAGCACUUAAACA
rnacentral:lncRNA from 1 species